rnacentral:rRNA from 1 species
CCCAGAGCCUGAAUCAGUGUGUGUGUUAGUGGAAGCGUCUGGAAAGGCGUGCGAUACAGGGUGACAGCCCCGUACACAAAAAUGCACAUAUUGUGAGCUCGAUGAGUAGGGCGGGACACGUGGUAUCCUGUCUGAAUAUGGGGGGACCAUCCUCCAAGGCUAAAUACUCCUGACUGACCGAUAGUGAACCAGUACCGUGAGGGAAAGGCGAAAAGAACCCCGGCGAGGGGAGUGAAAAAGAACCUGAAACCGUGUACGUACAAGCAGUGGGAGCCUCUUAAUGGGGUGACUGCGUACCUUUUGUAUAAUGGGUCAGCGACUUAUAUUCUGUAGCAAGGUUAACCGAAUAGGGGAGCCGAAGGGAAACCGAGUCUUAACUGGGCGUUAAGUUGCAGGGUAUAGACCCGAAACCCGGUGAUCUAGCCAUGGGCAGGUUGAAGGUUGGGUAACACUAACUGGAGGACCGAACCGACUAAUGUUGAAAAAUUAGCGGAUGACUUGUGGCUGGGGGUGAAAGGCCAAUCAAACCGGGAGAUAGCUGGUUCUCCCCGAAAGCUAUUUAGGUAGCGCCUCGUGAAUUCAUCUCCGGGGGUAGAGCACUGUUUCGGCAAGGGGGUCAUCCCGACUUACCAACCCGAUGCAAACUGCGAAUACCGGAGAAUGUUAUCACGGGAGACACACGGCGGGUGCUAACGUCCGUCGUGAAGAGGGAAACAACCCAGACCGCCAGCUAAGGUCCCAAAGUCAUGGUUAAGUGGGAAACGAUGUGGGAAGGCCCAGACAGCCAGGAUGUUGGCUUAGAAGCAGCCAUCAUUUAAAGAAAGCGUAAUAGCUCACUGGUCGAGUCGGCCUGCGCGGAAGAUGUAACGGGGCUAAACCAUG